AUACUUACCUGGCAGGGGAGACACCAUGCUCAGGCAGGUGGUUUUCCCGGGGCGAGGCUCAUCCCUUGCACUCCGGGUGUGCUGACCCCUGCUGCUGACCCCUGCGAUUUCCCCAAACGUGGGAAACUCGACUGCAUAAUUUGUGGUAGUGGGGAAAUGCAUUCGUGCUCUCCCCUA
ensembl:snRNA U1 U1 spliceosomal RNA